AUUGAACGCUGGCGGCAUGCCUUACACAUGCAAGUCGAACGGCAGCGGACCUUCGGGUGCCGGCGAGUGGCGAACGGGUGAGUAAUAUAUCGGAACGUACCCUUUCAGUGGGGGAUAACGUAGCGAAAGUUACGCUAAUACCGCAUAUUCUGUGAGCAGGAAAGCAGGGGAUCGCAAGACCUUGCGCUGAUUGAGCGGCCGAUAUCAGAUUAGCUAGUUGGUGAGGUAAAGGCUCACCAAGGCGACGAUCUGUAGCGGGUCUGAGGGGAUGAUCCGCCACACUGGAACUGAGACACGGUCCAGACUCCUACGGGAGGCAGCAGUGGGGAAUUUUGGACAAUGGGCGCAAGCCUGAUCCAGCCAUGCCGCGUGAGUGAAGAAGGCCUCGGUUGUAAG
rnacentral:rRNA from 1 species